rnacentral:rRNA from 1 species
GACGAAGGUGGCGACCGUUGUUCGGAAUUACUGGGCAUAAAGCGCACGUAGGCGGCAAUGUAAGUCAGGUGUGAAAUCCCUCGGCCUAACCGAGGAAUUGCGCUUGAGACUGUGUUGCUUGAGGGCAGGAGGGGAGCGUGGAAUUCCUGGUGGAGCGGUGAAAUGCGUUGAUAUCAGGAGGAACACCGGCGGCGAAGGCGACGCUCUGGCCUGUUUCUGACGCUGAGGUGCGAAAGCCAGGGGAGCAAACGGG